UACAGAGGUCUCAAGCGUUGUUCGGAUUCAUUGGGCGUAAAGGGUGCGUAGGUGGCAUGGUAAGUCGGAUGUGAAAUCCCGGGGCUCAACCCCGGAACUGCAUUCGAUACUGCUGCGCUAGAGUACUGGAGAGGAGAUUGGAGUUUACGGUGUAGCAGUGAAAUGCGUAGAUAUCGUAAGGAAGACCAGUGGCGAAGGCGGAUCUCUGGACAGUUACUGACACUGAGGCACGAAGGCCAGGGGAGCAAACGGG
rnacentral:rRNA from 1 species